CACGUAGGGCGCAAGCGUUGUCCGGAAUUAUUGGGCGUAAAGAGCUCGUAGGCGGUCUGUUACGUCCGCUGUGAAAACUCGGGGCUUAACCCCGGGCCUGCAGUGGAUACGGGCAGACUAGAGGUAGGUAGGGGAGAAUGGAAUUCCCGGUGUAGCGGUGAAAUGCGCAGAUAUCGGGAGGAACACCGGUGGCGAAGGCGGUUCUCUGGGCCUUUCCUGACGCUGAGGAGCGAAAGCGUGGGGAGCGAACAGG
rnacentral:rRNA from 1 species